rnacentral:rRNA from 1 species
AUUGAACGCUGGCGGAAUGCUUUACACAUGCAAGUCGAACGGCAGCACGGGGCAACCUGGUGGCGAGUGGCGAACGGGUGAGUAAUACAUCGGAACGUGCCCAAUCGUGGGGGAUAACGUAGCGAAAGUUACGCUAAUACCGCAUACGAUCUACGGAUGAAAGCGGGGGAUCGCAAGACCUCGCGCGAAUGGAGCGGCCGAUGUCAGAUUAGGUAGUUGGUGGGGUAAAGGCUCACCAAGCCGACGAUCUGUAGCUGGUCUGAGAGGACGACCAGCCACACUGGGACUGAGACACGGCCCAGACUCCUACGGGAGGCAGCAGUGGGGAAUUUUGGACAAUGGGCGCAAGCCUGAUCCAGCCAUUCCGCGUGCAGGAUGAAGGCCUUCGGGUUGUAAACUGCUUUUGUACGGUAACGAAACGGUUCUCUCUAAUACAGGGGGUAAUGACGGUACCUGAAGAAUAAGCACCGGCUAACUACGUGCCAGCAGCCGCGGU